GGUAUCAAGUGGGAAGCUGCCGCGGGAAGUAGUAGGCGGGAGGCGUUAUCUGGAUGCACUGGGCGUAAAGCGUGCGGAGGUGGAGCGUUAAGGGAGAGUGUAAAUCGUGUGGCUCAACCAUGACGAUGCGGCUCAUACUGGCGUGCUAGAGGACAGCAGAGGCAAGUGGAAUUGGUAGUGUAGCAGUGAAAUGCGUAGAUAUUACCAGGAACACCAAUGGCGAAGGCAGCUUGCUGGGCUACUCCUGACACUGAGGUACGAAAGCGUGGGGAGCGAACAGGAUUAGAUACCCCAGUAGUC
rnacentral:rRNA from 1 species